rnacentral:lncRNA from 10 species
CAUCGAUCUCUUUUUAUGAAACACUGUAGAACCCUGAGGUGCAAGCAGCAUCAUUUGAGAUGCCUCUGAGGCAGGAUAAUGCGUGGGAGAGACGCGUUCUUCCCGACACCAUCCUGGUCAUUUGGGGCUGGCACCAUGAUGGCUCUGGAAUGUUGGUGGCUGUGCCCAGUGACAGGCAGGAGAGAAGUGAUGGUUCCCCGUGGGGCCUGCGAUUCUUGGUGAAGCAGCAGUUGUUUCCAGGAGGAGACGUGUGAUGAGCAUUCAUGAGAGCCCUCAGGGACAUCAGAAAAUACUGGAUGGAAAGAGUUUGCACCAAGUGGAGGUUUUACAUUGCAAGUAUGGGCUGGAGCCAACAAGUCUCUGUUAUGAUUUUAAUAGUUGCCACUGUACACAGAGGAGGAUGAAGUCUGGAUGAAAUUUGGGCCACAUGAAUCUAUUGGAUCCUAGAUACCAGCAUUCUAUUUAUCUGAAUAAGAUAAAAUUCAUGGCAAUUCAACCUACUUCUGGAGAAAGACCAGCUGUAGACAGCAAACAGUCUCAAUAGAAUCUUUUAGAAGAAAUAUAUGAUGUAACUCCAAUUUAUAAAUAACAGAAGGUUUCAAGUCAAAAUCCUAACCAAUCUGCUUUGAUCUCAUUGAACAAGACUCGCUUGCAAUGAAUGACUGAAGUGGAUAUAAAACAUGAGUUCACUUAUAUGUGUCCCAUGAAACUUUUAUUACUCAUUUAUCCUUCUUACCUAGAACAAUGAACAUCAUCGCAGUGACAACCAUGCAGAAUUAGCAGAACCUGAAUUACUCCAGAUAUUCUCAUUCUUAAGUUCUGCUCAGGAAGUGUAUAUUCAUGCCAAGGCCAUGGCACUCAGGGACUUUUAAAUAAUUCUCAGGAAGAAAGAAACUGCAGAGCCCAAGUGGAAUUCUGGAUAUAAUGAAAUCCUGCCCCAGCCUGGUGGCUUCUCUCAGAUCUUUCCUCCCGGCUUGCCGCUUCAUCGUCUCUGAACCUCCUGUGUCUCCUUCGUGAUAAACUUGCAUUUUUAGAACAUUCCUGUGCUUUUCCAUGAGUGUGAGUGAGUGUUUCAGAGUGAGGAACACAAUGACCCCCUUGACGGGCACGUGGUAAAUUCACAGCUCGUGUAGCUCUCGCUGAAGAGGACCUGCUCAUCAUUCAGCAAACACAGACAUGAAGUUCAGCAUCGGGCUCCCUGGUGUGUCUGACGGAUGGGACUUCCAAAGGCUGUAAAGGUCCUUGCUCAAGUCUCAGCAGUUGCCUGGAUGUAGCAGUUACACCAAGUACUUGAGUACCAGUAAAAUGGCAGUUACUCCACACUGUUCACUUGGAGAAUAACUGCCACUUCAUGCUUAUUGCUUAUUUAUUUCCUUCCUUCCUUCCUUCCUUCCUUCCUUCCUUCCUCUUUCUCUCUUUGACAGGGUCUCUCUCUGUUGCAGAAGCUGGAGUGCAGUGGCCCAAUCUCAGCUCACUGUGGCCUCGGCCUUCUGGGCUCAAGAAAUCCUCCCACCUCAGCCUCCCAAAGUGCUGGGAUUACAGGCAUGAGCUACCACAGCCUGCCUUGUUGGGUUUCUAGACAAGGUCCCUGAGACCCAGAAAGGUAAAGUGAUAUACAAAGUUCAAUAAUUACAUGUGGUGAAGCCAGCGUAGCAUCCACACCUCCUCCCUCCCCAUUUAAUGUCUUUUCACCAGAGAGCAUGUGUUAAUGAGGCUGUGGUUGUAGACUCUUAUAGGAACUGAAGACCUGUAAGACCCAUAUCCCAGUUAGCCAUCUUACAAACAGAAGCAUUCACUGAAUAUAUGUCCAGGCGAGAGAAUAGGUGGCUGUAAGAAAACUGACCCCAUUCUUUGAAACAAACACACGCAAGCUUCUUUCUCUAUCUAUCUACCUAUCUUCUAUUUCUCUAUUAUCUAUCUAUCUAUCUUUCUUUCUUUCUUCAUCACUAUAAUGCUCAAGAAUAUAUUUGCAGCAAAACCCAAUGCUAUUCUGAUCAAGAGCAAAGCCAUCAAUAGCUCUUGGUUGGAACUUGGGAAAAAACUGGGCAUAGAGAGCCUGGUGAAUACUUAUCCAGGUGAUACCAACUGUUGUAGGUCUCUUGAGUGUGGACCAUGUAUCUGAAGAAACAAUUGUUUAAAUGUUACUCAAAGGACCAAAAGGAUGGAUGUCCAAAGGGUGAGCAUUUGAUUUCUCCUCAUGUGUGGAACUUGCCUUUUAGUGACCUGGCUGAUGAGUGGCCAACGCUCUUCCUGUGCCAUUGUGUCCCACACAGCCAGAAUUUAAUCAUGCAGGAGCUGCUGGAAAGAUGCUCUAUGCAGAGAGAAAUUAAUGGAAUGAACUCAGGACAAAACCCUUGUCUCGGGUCUGCGUCAUUCUAAUAGCAGAACAAACUUCAUGCUGUCAGCAGCAAAAGAGAUGACUGGAAAUCACCUUUAGCUUUUCCAUCCAUUAUGACAGCAUGGGCAGAACGAGGAAGGAGGACAGCAAACAGGAUGAGAAACCACAGAUGAGGUGGCAGGCAGGAGGCAUGCGCUGUAUCCAUCCAAGGACAAAGAGAGGUGGCAGGAGCUAAGGCUGUGACCAGGAGAGAAAUGUGAGCCGACUUAAAGGGAAAGACAGAAGGGAGCCCUGUGCAGACUGGCUGUUUGUUACAGCUUAAGCAAAAGUGCCAAAGAAACUCUGUGAAUCAGGACUUGCACACAAGGAUGGGGGUCAGACCCAAGCUGAUGUCUACCUGGCUGAGAACGAGUCCCAUUCACUGUAUGAGGCUCAUGGAGUCUUUGCCAAGGGGCUAGUCCCAGGUUCUGGGUAUGUGGAGGGUCAGCAUUCAUGGGGAGACAUUCCUCCGCCUCUUCUGUUCUUUCCCCUAAACCUGUUAACUCCUGACACACAUCUUAUGAAUUUCUAAACCAUAUCGUCUAGUAGAAGAUCACAGAAGUUGAGUCAGUGACUCACUGGGCCAAGUUCUAUUCGUAGACAGGGAGACUGGGGAGAGUGGACUCAUUGCCGCAGUUCCACAAAGCUCUUCCGGUUAGGGGAUGCAUUGCCCAGAGUUCCACAAAGCUCUUCCGUGUAGGGGAUGCACUGCCAGGAGUGCCACAAGGCUCUUCCGGUGAGGGGAUGCAUUGCCGAGUUCCAGAAAGCUCUUCCUUGUAGGGGAAGCAUCGCCCGGAGUUCCACAAAGCUCUUCCGGUGAGGGGAUGCAUCGCCCGGAGUUCCACAAAGCUCUUCCGGUGAGGAGAUGCAUCGCCCGGAGUUCCACAAAGCUCUUCCGGUGAGGGGAUGCAUCGCCCGGAGCUCCACAAAGCUCUUCCGGUGAGGAGAUGCAUCGCCCGGAGUUCCACAAAGCUCUUCCGGUGAGGAGAUGCAUCGCCCGGAGUUCCACAAAGCUCUUCCGGUGAGGAGAUGCAUCGCCUGGAGUUCCACAAAGCUCUUCCGUGUAGGGGAUGCACUGCCGAGUUCCACAAAGCUCUUCCGUAUAGGGGAAGCAUCGCCUGGAGUUCAACAAAGCUCUUCCAUGUAGGGGAUGCAUCGCCCAGAGUUCCACAAAGCUCUUCCAUGCUGUUGGCUCUUUUGUCUCCUAAACCCUCUUCUCUCCCUGGAGAUUGUGGAAGUGCUCUUGACUAAUUCUCUGAGCUCUGUGUGGGUUGAGAGCUUAAUUCUGUUGCCCAACCUGGAAAGGGCAGAUGGGGGAGUCGGGACACCCGUGUCUUAUGCCUGACUCUGUUAUGACUUAGCUGUGUGACAGGGGACAUUUUUGUUGGUCACAACUUGGAGGGUGCUACUGGCAUCCAGAGGAUAGAAGCUUGAGAUCCCAGGAAAUGCCCUACAGUGCACCAGGCAUCCCCCUACGACACAAACAUCUGGUCCAUGACAUCACUCGUGCCCCUGUGGAAAAACUCUGCCCUAGAUUUGUUUUCUCACCUGUAAACUGAGAGGUUUGGAUUAGAUCAUUUUAAAAAUCAUUUUCAAAGACAAACUUUGAAAAGUCGAUGGUGAAGCAUAAAAUUUUACCUUAAAUUUAGAUAUGAAUCAUAACAUAAAUGAUGCUGAGAAGCAAAAAUGAAUCUCCCAAAGUAUAUAAGUGAAAUGACAGUAGCUCUUAUCAGUAAUAAGGGACUGUGCCUUGUGGCUAAGGUAGCCCCUUAAGCUAUAAAGAUGUGAGAAAUGGCAUUUUAUCAACAAGGUAUCCAACAAGGCAUUCAUUUAGAGAGAAGGAAAAAAAUCCCAAUUUCCAAAUCCCAGGCUUCCACUUAGGAGAGGCUGGAGGGAAGUGAUACACACAAACCCCUCCUGUCUAAACAAUGUGCCAGACAGAAAAAGGCCAGAGGUGAUUCGUGUGGAAAUGGGUUUUUACAGGAGCUGCAAUAAAGAACCCCCUUUCCCAAGCCCUACUGAAAUGAAAUGCUAGCUAUAUAAUCAAUGUCAUGAAGCAGAAAAGGCCUGGGGAACACCAGGGAAACCUAUCUACUGGCCAGGCACACGGAGUGCAGGUCCAGAGCUGGUGAGCAGGCUCUCUCACCAGGACGUGUGACAAUCAUCUCCUGCUGUGUAGCUUGGGGCCCCCUCCCACUGGGCUGUCACGCUGACAGAGGCUGACCUCACAGGUCUUCUUGGAGGGUCUCAGCAUUGGUAUUCAUCCCUGAAAAAUUCACUACACCUCCACAAACACAACUGAUAGCAAAUAUGAUUACAGGGAGUUCUGGGGGAGCUGAGGAGACAGGAGACGUGUUAUGAAAGGGAAAAUAAAACUCCCAAACCACCAACAAUGACACUUCACGUAUAGAUGGCUGCCCAGUGGAAUGGGAACGCUGCGUCCCGGUAACUCUGGAGUCUAUGUUCAAGGAAGAUCUAGAUAAUUUAGAAAUAUCAGUCUGGGCUCAUGAGGAUCACCUGCGCUUGUGAUCCUCUGAGGCUUAAUUGUUAUAUUUCAUUCUUACAGUUUUCAGAUUGGGAGAAAAUGGGGCACUCAAGAGCCAUUUGGACUUUUCAAAGGUCAGGGUCUGAAGAGCCUGAUGCUUAGACACUGAUAGGGACCCUGACUCUAAAAACCUUUGCAGGAGUGGAGGUGCAGGCAUGGUGGGUGGGAGGUGUGAUCUCUGGCUUAGACACCAGCAUGAAACACCCCCGGGAAGCAUCAGGAAAUGUCUUAAGUAAAUGCCAGGAAGGGGAGGAGGCAAAUGAGAGAGUUCAGGCCACAGUUGCCUCAUUUUCAUAGUUCAAGAAGUCAUUCAUGAAGAAUGUCACACACACACACAAAACAGAUAGAAAAGGUAGCCUCUGCCAAGGUCUCCUUUCCUCGUAUGGACAUUUAUGAUAUUAUGAUAUUGACAGCACUAAUAAUAUUGUGGAUUUUAAAUCUUCAUUUCCCCAACAUUCUCACCCACAUGGUAAUUUGGGUGAUUUAGACAAGCCACUCUCUGAGGGGAAAGUUGGAGAAUGCAGAAGUUAGUGCAGUCAGCAACUCCAGCAACCUGACAUAUCUAAGAGUUGGAAUAUCGAAGGAAAAUCUAAAAACAGGUCAGUGAGUGAAAUCUGACCUCUACCUAGCCAUGAAUAGAUGAUUGUUUUUAUUUUUCUACAUUUUUUUUUUGAGAUGGAGUCCCACACUGUUGCCCAGG